UAGGGAAUCUUCGGCAAUGGACGAAAGUCUGACCGAGCAACGCCGCGUGAGUGAAGAAGGUUUUCGGAUCGUAAAACUCUGUUGUUAGAGAAGAACAAGGACGUUAGUAACUGAACGUCCCCUGACGGUAUCUAACCAGAAAGCCACGGCUAACUACGUGCCAGCAGCCGCGGUAAUACGUAGGUGGCAAGCGUUGUCCGGAUUUAUUGGGCGUAAAGCGAGCGCAGGCGGUGUCUUAAGUCUGAUGUGAAAGCCCCCGGCUCAACCGGGGAGGGUCAUUGGAAACUGGGAGACUUGAGUGCAGAAGAGGAGAGUGGAAUUCCAUGUGUAGCGGUGAAAUGCGUAGAUAUAUGGAGGAACACCAGUGGCGAAGGCGGCUCUCUGGUCUGUAACUGACGCUGAGGCUCGAAAGCGUGGGGAGCAAACA
rnacentral:rRNA from 1 species